rnacentral:rRNA from 1 species
UACAGAGGGUGCGAGCGUUUAAUCGGAAUUACUGGGCGUAAAGCGCACGUAGGCGGCUUUGUAAGUUAGAGGUGAAAGCCCGGAGCUCAACUCCGGAAUUGCCUUUAAGACUGCAUCGCUAGAAUUGUGGAGAGGUGAGUGGAAUUCCGAGUGUAGAGGUGAAAUUCGUAGAUAUUCGGAAGAACACCAGUGGCGAAGGCGACUCACUGGACACAUAUUGACGCUGAGGUGCGAAAGCGUGGGGAGCAAACAGG